rnacentral:lncRNA from 1 species
AGUCGGCCGCCGGGCGGCGGCGAAGGGAGGCGCUGGGUGAGGGAGCAGCCAGGUGCGGUGGCUCGCCUGUAAUCCUAACACAUUUGGAGGCCGAAGUGGGAGGAUUGCGUGAGGACUAGGAGUUUGAACCAGCCUGGUCGAUCUAGCGAGACUUAUUCUCUACAGAAAAGAAAUUAGACGGGCACCUUCGCGCUCGGCGCCUGUAGUCCCAGCACUUUGAGAGGCUCGGGCAAGAGGAUCCCUUGAGCCCUGGAAGGUCGAGGCUGCAGUAAGCUGUGAUCGCAUCACUACACUCCAGCCUAAGCGGCAGACCCUGGCUCAAAAAAAAAAAAAAAAAAAUUCUUUGCUAUUUACAAUAGGGAUAUUUUCCCAAGCCCCCAUGGUACUUACUAUAAUCAUUUUUGGUCUGC